rnacentral:rRNA from 1 species
UACAGAGGUCUCAAGCGUUGUUCGGAUUCAUUGGGCGUAAAGCGCACGUAGGCGGCUUGUUAAGUCAGGGGUGAAAUCCUGGAGCUCAACUCCAGAACUGCCUUUGAUACUGGCGAGCUUGAGUCCGGGAGAGGUGAGUGGAACUGCGAGUGUAGAGGUGAAAUUCGUAGAUAUUCGCAAGAACACCAGUGGCGAAGGCGGCUCACUGGCCCGAUAACUGACGCUGAGGUGCGAAAGCGUGGGGAGGCAAACAGG